UUUUUUUUUGUUGAAGUACACACAACACAUGGCCAACCAAGCCGCACGCCUGUGGCCAUUACGUAAUAUGAAAUCUAACAUCAAAUUUGUGAUAGAAUAAGCCGGUAAAAGUUUUGUCGUAUCCCAGUGAAAUGAAUUACGUCUUGUUUCGAAGGGUACAUUGGUUUAUAAAAUAUUUCCUAAGAAUGGGAAAACAAAAGGGCAUAAUAAAUAUAUGCAUUAUUAUAUAACUCGGCUAAGACAUCCCAUCUUUUUAAAAAAAAUUAUUUUCGGAGCCCUGCAUUCACUUAAGAAUGUUCGGCGCCCCAUAUAUUUUUGUUCUUAAAACACAACUACCCCUCUCAUCUUCAUCUAUUUGCUCUCAUUUUUCAUGUCUCUCUUGUUCAAAGGGAGAAGGGGAAUUUUUCUUUCAUGCAUGCUUCAUGUAUCAUCAUCAAACGAGUACGUAGCUAGUGCUUUCCAGUUGCAGCAUCUGACGUGAGAUGAUGUCACUUGAGAGUGAGACAUACCUGCCAAAACCGACGGAAAACCUAACCGGAGGUCCAAUUAUCUUGGGCAAAUGGUUUAUUUUUCUGGAAUGGUAUCUGCGGCAGAUAUGAUGAAAGAUGAUCCAUAUCCAGAUUAAGCAUUUCUCAAGGCUAAGUACCGUCAAAUCAAAUAUAAUGGAACUCGAGUCAAAGCACUACUCCUAAUACCCAAUUCGGUUUGUGCAGCUGCCAUGUCAUCCUGCAUUAGCCAUCGUGUCCUGUGUUUCAUUGGAGCAACAUGAAUAGUGCCGGUUGGCUUGUUCCGGUAACAGUUGCCUGCAAUGCAAGUGAGCGCGACGGUCUGCAAGAGGAGCACUUCUGACUUCUGCACUUGGAUUAUAUACAUGUUUCUGUCCUUGUUUACUUCACCCCCAACUCCCAACUUUGACACUAUGCAAAAAGAAGAUUCUCCAUUACAUCAAACUUGCGGUACAUGCAUGGAGUACUAAAUGUAGAUGAAAUUAAAAAUUAAUUGCACAGUUUUGUUGUACUUUGCGAGAUGAAUCUUUUGAGCCUAAUUAGUCAAUGUUUGGACAAUAAUUCACAAAUACAAACGAAACGCUACAGUGUGCUACAGUGCCGGCACGGUAAUUUUGGCACUCCCAAUUUUGACAACUAAACAAAACCUCUGUCCCUUGGCAUACGCCAGAAGCUGGAGUUGUACGGCUUUUAGAGCCUCCAAGGUAGGCCGGCAUUUUAUUCCAUUAUCUUUUUUUAAAAAAAAAAAGAUGCUGGAGUUGAAUUAUGAAAGCACGUAACUAGCCCACCGUUUGAUAUUGUUCCCUAGUGGAGCUCAAGUGUAUAUGCUCGGCGGCUCGGUGCUAGUGCAGUUCCUGCUUGCUCAGCAUUUGUAAGGAAAUACUCUGAAAAGCGUACACUUGUGUGAAGAAACAGAAAACCUUUGGCAAAAAACGCAAAGUCAUAUUCUCAUGGAUUUCACAAGAAAUGCAAUGUGUUUUAGCCUUCCCCAAAAGAGCAAAUGUCAUGUGAAAAUUCGCGGAAAUAAAAGUUGACGCCACUGUCUCCGUCAACUCUCACGUCCCCGUGAUGCUGACAAUGAAGUCCAACGCCUACUCCCGAUGGGAGUCCUUCUUCAAGUCCAUGUGCGGCAAGUUCGGCCUCAAGUCGCACAUCGAUGACACGGUGGCGCCCCGACCCUAGGACCCCGACUGGGAUCAAGCGGAUUGCUGCGUCCGCUCCUGGUUCUUUGGCUCCGUCGACGACUUCGUUCUCGACCUCGCCAUGACCGACGACGAUCAUACCGCCCGGGAUCUUUGGCUCGCCAUCGAGGGCCUCUUUCGCACCAACAAGCAAUCCCGGGUGAUCUUCCUCAGCCACGACUUUCACUCCAUGACGCAGGGCACCUCCUCUAUCGCCGAGUACUGCAGCCGCAUGAAGACCCUCGCCGACGCCCUCCGCGACGUCGGCCAUCCCGUUCAGGACUCCCAACUUGUCCUAAACCUGCUCCGCGGCCUCAACCCGCGCUUCUCCAACACCGCCGACAACAUCGCCAACUCCUCCGCCGGCUUCCCGUCCUUCGCCCAGGCGCGGGACAUGUUCGCCCUGAAAGAACUUCACCUCGCUAACAAGGAGAAGAUCUCUAACUCCAUUGCCCUCCUCGUCGGGACCUCCUCGUCUUUCGGCUGUACGGGCAGGUGUCGCUCGGCGUCUGGUUCUGUCCAGACUGGCGGCAGCGGCAGCAGCAGUAGCGGCGGCCGCGGCGCCGACAGUAGCGGCAAGAAGAAGUAGCCGAAGAAGGGCGGCAGCUCUCACGACGGUGGGUCCCCACGGCCCACCGGCCUGUGAUUCUGUUUCAGUCCCGGAGCCGGCCCCUACGGCGCCACGGGUUUCCCGCGGGCUGGCGGCGGUGGGGGCUGGCGCGCCGGCGCCCCUGGUCUCUUCGGGCCCCCUCCGCAAGCUCACGCCGCCUUCUCUACAAUGAGGAAGAACACCCACCAGAUCGUUGAUUAGAGAGAGAGCUCAGGAGUGUCGCACAGGAAAGUUUUCUAUGAACUCAAAGCUUAUGUUUCCAUUUCUCCAAACUUACAGUUUUACUCCUCGUUCCUCCGAGAAUGUUCUUACCCGUUCCUUUGUUCCAAAUGCACGGUACUAUCAGUAAAAUGGAGGAACAAGGUUUCUACGAAAUUUGUAUAGAAAACCUAUGUUCCAAAGGUACUCUAAGGCCUUGUUUGAUAAAAUAGGCGGAUUGAAAGAGAAUAAAAGGGAUUGAGUCUCAAAUGAACUAAUUUUCUCUCAAAAUAAUCUUCCCAUUCCAUUUAAUCCACUAAGUAAAAAACAAGCCUAAAUUGUUUGAGCCCACGACGCUGCUUGGAAACGCGGUAUGUCCAUGAAUCUUCAUCGUCAGCGUGUCCAGGACACCACCGACACCUCUAGUUUGCACUUGCACCGCACAAUCAAGGCUACCUGCUGCCAGUGCUAUGAGAUCCACAUGCAAAAUGUUAUCGAGGCAUGCAUGCAAGUCUUUGAACCGCACAUGCAUCCUUUUUUUAGAACUGUGUAGCUCUGUGAUGAGGAAGAAGACCCACCAGAUCGUUGAUCAGAGAGAGAGAGAGAGAGCUCAUCGAGUGUCGCAGGAAUGUUUUCUACGGUCCUAAAGCUUAUUUUUCCAUUUCUCCAAACGUAGAGUUUUACUCCUCAUUCCUCCGAGAAGGUUAUUACGAAAUUUCUAUAGAAAAACCUGCGUUCCAAUGGUACCCUAAAUUGAUUGAGCCCGCCCCCACCACAGGAAAUGCCCGAGACGCGGCUUGGAAAUGCAGUAUGUCCACGAAACUUCGUCGUCACAGGGCACCACCGACACCUCUAGUUUGCACUUGCACCGCACUAUCAGCUGCCUGCUGCCACUGCUAUUGAGAUCGAGCUCUUUUACGGUACAAAAUACUACCAUUUAGUGGUAUAUAGUAUAUAGAAUUAUAGAUGAUCUAACCAUCCAUAAUUAUGAAUAAGUUAGUAAUUAUUACAUUGCAAAAGUGAUAUUUCAAAUGGAAUAAUCUUUUAGAUUUUAUGCUAGCGUCGAAAAAAAUAUUACAUUGAUUUGAUGACAUUUGUGUUCUUUUACCAUGAUACCUUAUACUACAUAUAUUAUUCAUGUAUAUUAGUACUACCUAUAUCACCUGUGAAAUUUUUAUAGUAUAUAAUUAAUUUUAAUUAUCGGAUGUUUUUAUACAAUUCUUUUUGAACAUCAGUAUAGUCUAUUAUUGUGCACAUUAAAAAAUUCCAUUAACAUCCACGUGCAAAUCUUAUCGAGAUACAUGCAUGCAAUUCUUUGAACCGCACAUGCAACUGAACUCUGAGCUCUCUACGUACGUGUGGGCCACCUUAGGGCCUGCUCGUCAGGUCCCUGCGUUUCGGUGACAGGCGGUCCAGCGAUGCAACACAUGUUGAUUGUUGACUUGUUCAGCAUGCAUUCACUGAAUGCAGACGAUGCUGGGAUAUUUCUCUACGUCUCCUUGCUGGCAGCCAGCAAUCUUUAGUUGUUAGGUGAUGGGCUGGAGUGCCAAAAUGUAUGCUUCCUUUCGGGUUGACCAAUGACUUCUGUCGAAGCUAGUCAUCUGGCGUCAAUUUCUUCAGUCCGGUGAAAGUAACUUUAUACCUACGGCUCACACGAUAUCUAGGUGUGUUUUGUUGUAUAUACUACGAUCUUAUUUGGAUCCCACCAACUAAAGUUCUCUCGCUGGAUUGCAGGUUCUAGCUAAACUUUAGCUAAGAAUCUAAAUAGAUUUUGAUUCUAAGCUAAAUUUUAGCUAGCUAAACUUUAGUUGGUGGGAUCCAAAUAUGACCUAUAUACCAUUUGAUUCGUAUGGAAUGCUUCAAGUUAAAUGAUGAUCUAUAUAUUUAUUUAGUUGAGCGAACAAUAUAUACCAACUUAUUCACGAUGAAAUCCAUCCCAUUUUAUGUAGUUUUCUAUUGAGAGUGAUAAACCAUAUGAAUGAAAAAAUUGAUUGAACCAUACUAUAUAGUAUUAUUUAUACAUGAACUAUUUGGUAUGUGCAACAACCAAAUACAUCAGUAUUAAACGGUUUAAACUAGAUAGUAUUUGGUUAGGUGAAUCAUACAAACUUAUCCAUACUCACUUGAUAUAAUUUUCUUACUGACAAUAGAAACUAAAUGGACCAUACUUACAUAAUAUUCCAUACAUUCACGAUUGGAAAAAGUUCAUUUUUAACCAUAAAACUAUCACCUGAGUUAGAUUUUGACCAUCCAAUCCUAAAAUCAGAAAUCUUCGACCACUCAAUUAUCAAAAUCGUUUACAAUUGACUAUCUACCUGUUUUGAUGGGUGGUUUUGCUUAUGUAGCUAACACGUGUGGAAGUGGGGCCUGUGAGAUGGAUGAAAAUGUGAUGCCCUUUGGGGCUCACGGUUCCAUGUUUAUAUGGCCGGGAACAGCCCCCGGCAUGGCUUGUACAAGGAGCUACUUGAUGUACAAGAUACAGAAAAUAGGAAACAACAAUUCCAAGCUAGCUUGCCUAAACUAGUUGAUUACAAGAUCAAUUACAUGAUUACAGGAACCGUGAUAUGGUAGGGAACCUUGACAUAUUCCAACACCCCCCUGUUAACCACAACUGUCAGUCAAAUUGAGAUUAUGUCGAAACAUCAGUAAUCGCUGGACAGGUAGGGCCUUUGUAAGCCAUCAGCUACCUAAUCUUCAGAAGAAAUAAAUCUUACUUCCAGCAGUUUGUGUGCUACUUGUUCUCUCACAAAAUGAUAAUCGAUCUCAACAUGUUUGGUGCGUGCAUGAAACACCGGGUUCUCAUAUAAAUACUUUGCUCCUAUGUUAUCACACUAAAGCCUUGCUGCUCAAGGAUGAGGAAUUUUCAGUUCAUCUAAUAGUUUCUGUACACACAUAAGGUCUGCAGUGGUAUUAGCAAGUGCUUUGUACUAUGCCUCUGUGCUAGAUCUAGAAACAGUUGCUUAUUUUCUAGCACUCCAAGAGAUUAAAUUGGGACCAAAAAAGAUUGCAAAGCCCCCUGUUGAUUUUUUUUAUCAUCUAGGCAUCUUGCUAAUCGCAUCCUGCCCAGUCUGCAUCUGCAAAUGCACUGAGUAACAUGGAUGCUGAUUUCCUGGUUUCUAGUCCAACCUUUAGUGUCCCUCUUACAUACCUCGAAAUUCUCAUUACAGCAGCCAAAUGAGUAGUAGUGGGACAGUGUGAAAAUCAGCACAACUUGUUAACCGAAAAGGAUAUGUCAGGAUGGGUCAGGGUGAGGUAUUGUAGAGCUCCCACUAUGCUUCUAUAGCGUGUGGAAUCUUCUGUUCCUAGAGCUUCACCCUCUGAUCUAGACAACUUCUCGGUUGGGGAAAGAAGAGUGUUCAUAGGUUUGCUUGACAUCAUGUUGGUACGCUGAAGUAUUUCAGUUGCAUAUCUUUCUUGACUAAAGUAAAAGAUCAGUUUUAGACUUUUGUACUUGUAUGCCAAGGAAGCACUGGGAAGCGUGCCCCUGCUAGGCGCACCAAGAACACCUCCAGGGAGCAUGAAAUGAUGCUGAAUUUCUUCCAAAUUUUCACCAGUGUCAAGCAAAAUAUGAUCUGCAGCUGCAUCCAUAGACUCGGUAAUAGGAUUAAGAGAGUUAGCAGAUGGCACAUAAGUAUUGUCAUCCCCAUCAGGUAAGUUUCUUAAGGUGUUUGGAAGAAGAAGAAUUUUAGAAGGCAAACAAGCACCGGCAUUGGGAUGAAGUUUGGAGAAGGGAUAAAUUGUUUCAUCAAAAACAACAUCCCGUGAGAUGUAAACUCUUCCUGUAGCAGCAUUUAAAUACUUGAACCCCUUGUGCAUUGUACUAUACCCAAGAAAAACGCAUUGUUUGGAAUGGAAUUGAAGUUUUCGAGUAUUAUAUGGUCGUAAGUUGGGCCAACAAGCGCAUCCAAAAAUGCGAAGGAUAACAUAAUUUGGGGUUUGAUGAAACAAACUCUCAAAAGGAUUUUGAUGCUGAAUGAUUUUGCUAGGGAGUUGGUUUAUAAGAUAUGUGGCUGUUAUAAAUGCUUCAUCCCAAAAUUUUAAUGGGAUAGAGGCUUGAGCAAGAAGUGAGAGCCCAACUUCAACUAUGUGACGAUGUUUACAUUCAGCAGAACCAUUUUGUUGAUAUGCAUGUGGGCAUGAAACAUGAUGAGAGAUGCCAAUGUGCUGAAAGAAAUAAUUCAGUUUUUGAUAUUCACCUUCCCAAUCCAUUUGAAUAGCUAGGAUUUUUCAAUCAAAGAGCCUUUCAACAAGGUUCUAGAAAUCGUGAAAGCAACGAAAAACCUCAGAUCUGUGAUGCAAGAGAUAAAUCCACGUGAAAUAUGGAAAAAUUGAACCAGUUUAGAGCACUGGUACUGAAGUCGUCAAUGAAGCUCACAUAAAAACUAUGUUUCCCAACAGAGGUUGGUGCCGGUGCCCACACAUCAGAAAAAAUAAGUUCAAGGGGAUUGUUAGACACACUUGAAGAAUGUGGAUAAGGCAAUUGAUGGCUCUUGCCUUGUUGACAUGCAUCACAAAUAACACCAUUGUUUGACUCAGAAACAAAAGGAAGUUUAUUUUUAUUAAGAAUCUACUGAACAAUUGAAGAAAAGGGGUGGCCAAAAUGAUUGUGCCACAAUGAAGACGACAACUUGACGGAGGCAAGCAACCUUUUAUUUGGGGUAGACUUCAAGUGGUAGAGGCCUCCUUCACGUCUACCUUGCGGAAGAACCCUUCUCGUUCCUCGGUCCUUGAUGAAAAAAUAAUGCGGAUGAAAUUCAAAGAAAGCAUCAUUAUCUGAAACAAGUUUAUGAACAGAGGCUAAACUUUUGUUGGCCUGAGGGACAUACAGGACAUUGUUUAAGAUGAGAUCAUGAUUGGGGGUAUGAACAAUACUAUGACCAAUCUGUUUAAUCUCCGUACCUGCGCCACUAGCAGUGUGGACUUGAUCACCUCUCUGGUACCUGUCCCUCAUGGUGAGCUUCUCAAGAUCGCCGGUGACAUGAUCCAUCGCGCCGGUGUUGAUGUACCAGUUGGUGUCGAUGUUGUAGGCCGAGGAGGUUGUAGAGGAAGUAGACUUCUUAGGGUCACCUUGGAAGGAAGCAUCAAAGCGCUUGUAGCAACGGAUGGCAGUAUGCCCCUCCUUGCCACACAGCUGACAGGUGGGCCCAUCCAUGUUGGAUCCCUAAUUGAAACCCUGUCGCCUAGUACCGCCACCGCGUCCUCCACGGGCAGUGAGGUUCGCCGAGGAGUUGGAGCCGCCACCUUGCAGCAAAUCUAAAUGAUGCUCAAAACCAACAAGCUGGGUGUAAAGUUCACCUAGGGUUAGGGGCUCAGUCCGUGCGGUGAUGGUGGAGACAACCUGGUUGAAGUCGAGAUCCAACCUGGCCCGGAUGUACGAGGAGAGCUCCUCAUCAUCCAGCUACUUCCCGGCAGACGCCAUUUCAUCGGCCAGGGUCUUCAUACGACCAAAGUAUUCAGCCAUGGUGCUGCUCCCUUUUUGCGUCGUUGCAAGCGCCAUGCGCGUGUUGAUCACACGCGCGCAUGUUUGGAAUGCAUACAUGAAAGGAUCGUGUGAUGCCUAGAGGGGGGUGAAUAGGCUCGAUCUUUAAAACUUGAAAAUUCUUCGCAGCGCUGUUAAAUGGGUCGGAACUUCCGACGCUGUGCCGGCACUUCCGACAGGGUCGGAAGUUCCGGUAUAACUACUCUACGAAAUUCAAAAACUAACAGGUUUCAGCAAAAUCUAUUUGAAUCAAAACUUCAGCAAUGAUAUAUAGAAACUACUGCAGGUGAUCUUUACAAGAGAAACUUCACCAAAAAGUAGAUCGGCACAAAUCAAGCUCUAAGUCAACAAGAACUUGAAGAACACAAUAAGCACGCGAGACAAAGGAUUUGUUUACUGAAGUUCACUCCCACAAAGGGAGCUAUGUCUCUACUGAGGAGCUCACAAAGAGCCGGGUCCUCAUUAACCUUUUACCUCUCUCAAUCAACCACAAAGGAAGAUUGAGUCACUUACUAUGAAUCCUCCAAGAGGAUGGGCAAUACAAACUUCUCGGGUGCACCACAACGAGAGUGUGCUCAAACGGGCAACACCGAACCGUCUAGAAGCAAGCUUCAAGAGUAAGAAACAUGAAUCAAAGGCUGAAGAUGCUUCAAGUGCUCUUGAAAUAAACUUGGUUGACCUCUCACUCAAAGAUUGAGUCACACACCUCAAAUCCUUCUCUCACCCAAGCCCUACCUCAAAACUCUCAAAGAUUUAGCUCAAGGAGGGAGUGGGGAGGAGUAUUGAAUGCUCAAGGGGGGUGUUUGUCUCGUGGUUGGUCAGCAACAAAUAAAGUGGGGGCUGAGGGGGUAUAAAUACCCGAGCCUCAAAAACUAGCCGUUGCAGUUCUAUUAUGUGCUUGUCGGAACUUCCGACACAGUUCAAAUAAAAUGGUUGGGAACCCCCUGCUGAAAGUUACUGGAAACUUCCGGUGCCUAUUAUCGGAACUUCCGACAUAGGGUCGGAACUUCCAAUACUAUUCAAUUAAAUCUGCUGAGCACCCCUAGUCGGAAGUUUUCAGCAGGUGUUGGAACUUCCGACCCCAUAUCGGAACUUCCAACACUCACAGAAACUGUGAGAAACUAAACGUGCAAGUGUGUGAGUGGUGUCUCUCAUAGGUGGUUAGCAUCUCAAAUAAGCACUUUGACAUCUUCAAGCUAUCCAUUCGCGUCCCCCUUUAUAGUACGAUGUUCCUAUACUCAAAUUCAAAAAUAAAAAUUAUAAAAAUCUUCCUUUAUGCUUCAACACCGUCCUUCAAACAAAUUUGGGGUCCUUUCUUGCAUUUUUUUCAUUUCUUAACAUUUGAACCUGUCAAUUUCUCGAUUCCUUAAUUAUGCAUGUCAUCAACACCAAAACCUACUCAGGGGGCCAAAUGCACUUUCAAUACAUGGCGUCAAUUGCAUCCCAGGCUUCAGCAACCGACAACACCGCUGCCACCUGCGUGAGGAUGUCAUGCGAGAUGGAGGCGAAGAGGAAGUUCAGGACCUGUUGGUCCUUGAUGACCCAGAGAUCAUACUCUGGGUUUGGCUCCUGCUCGGUUGGCUUGGCAGGAUCCUAGCAAAGGUCUUGGGUGGCGGCAGGACCUUGGAGUACACCUGCGCCUUCCACAUCGCAUGGUUGUUCCUCGCCAGCCGCUCGGUGACCGAACAGCCGAUCAAAGAAGCGACAGCAGACGAUUUGGAGGAUCUUGAGUUGGCCAUGGGAAAGCUCGGUAAAGAACCGGGCUCUGAUUACCAUGUGAGUUGGAUGAAAAUGUGAUGCCCUUUGGGACCACGGUUCCAUGUCUAUAUGGUCGGGAACAACCCCCGGUGUGGCUUGUACAAGGAGCUACUUGAUGUACAAGAUACAGAAACAAUAAAACAACAAUCCUACACUAGCCUGCCUAAACUAGCUGAUUACAUGAUCAAUUAAAUGAUUACAGGAACCGUGAUAUGGUAGGGAACAUUGACAUAUUCCAACAGGGUCCACAUGUCAGUAUUAUCUUCUUCGUCCCUCCCUCUCUGUCCCUCAUCUCUCCCUUUCUCGCUCAUGGACUUAUUUGUUUCCUCACCAUCCUAUCUCUCUUCCCUCUUUGCUAACCGAGUGGAAGUGGAACCCUAGGCACUGGGAAGGAGCGGGUGUGGUGGAGUAGCUCGACAGGUAGACAGGGCGCGAACCCAUAACAAUGGUGGGUGAGAUUGCCUUAAUAGCCGGGGCUGGGAUGGUCACCAAGGCACCCGGCCUAGCAUAGCGGCGGCAUGGCCCAAGCGGCAAGGCAAGCUCCAUGGGUUCAGCCCUGAUGCGGGGGUGCCUUCAUACGGCUCGUGCGUGGUGUAUAUGCUCAGCCGGGGCAGGGGCAACCUGCCUAUGCACAGUUGCGUAACCAGCGGCGGAGGAGAUUCUAGGGUGGAGGCGAAGGAUGGCGGUGCUUUGAGCAGAAGGCCGCGAAGUGCAGCACGGUACCCAUCGUAGCCAAGCUCAUAGGACCUGGUGAUGCCCCGCAUGGCAGCGCAUGAAGGGUUUGGCGGGAGGUGGUGGGCCAGCGAGUGGGCAUGCCAUAUCAUGCAGGAGAGAGAAGAGGGGGAGAUCCAUGGAGGCUAAGAAGACAAUGCGGACAAUGUAGGCUCAACUGCCACGUGGUGCCAUGGUGUCGGCCGCGUCAGCAAAAUCACCCACCAAAAUAGUUAGAUGAUCAAUUGUGAACGGUAUUGAUAGUUGGGUGGUCGAAAAUUUUUGGUUUUGGAGUUAGAUGGUUAAAAUCAAACUCAGACGAUAAUAGGAUUGUUAAAAAUGAAUUUUUACAUACACGAUUUGGUACAUUCAACCAAACACAAUAGUCCUUGUGCAAGUGUCCAUCAAAGCCAUCUAAAGUGAACCUAGGCUUCUUGUCCUUGCCUAUAUAUAAACUAAAUGUGCUCGAAGUUUCCAACUAAGCAAUCCACCAAACGCAAGAUUUACGCACCAUCGUCCACGCUUACGUCAUCUCACCUAACACAAACCAUGGUCACCAUCAUAGCACGCCGGAGCAAGCCCCACCUAGUGGCGCCAGCAUGUCCGACACCAUGCGAGACGAAGACCCUCUCCGACAUGGACGACCACCCCGGCAACCGGGCUUAUGUUCCCUUGGUCGAGUUCUUCGUCCGCGACGACGACGGCCUCGGCCCAGAGGACCCGGCGGCGGCCAUCGAGGCGGCGCUGGGCGAGGCUCUGGUGUAUUACUACCCCGUCGCUGGCCGUAUGCAGGAGACAGCCGGGGGCAAGCUGGCGGUGAGCUGCAACGGAGAAGGGGUGGCGUUCGUGGAGGCCGACGCCGCCGUGCGGCUGGAGGAGCUCGGUACGCCGCUGCUGCCACCGUACCCGUGCGUCGAGGAGCUGCUCUGCGACGCCGGCGACGCUCACGUCGUCGUCGGCAAGCCAAUCGUCUUCAUGCAGGUAGGUAACAGAUAAUCGUCGGCGUCCCCGGCCGGCAAGCCAAUCGUACUAACCCCCGCCACAACUUCUACUUGAUCGUUUGCAUGAAGGUGACAAGGUUCCAAUGUGGAGGAUUCGCGAUUGGUCUUCGGAUCAACCACUGCAUCGCAGACGGCUUCGGCAUGAUCCAGUUCCUCAGAGCCGUAGCCGACGUGGCACGCGGCGAGGCCGCUCCGGCGGUGCUGCCCGUGUGGGAACGGCACCUGCUAAUGGCCCGCGCGCCGCCGAGCACAGGCUACGUGCAUCGGAAGCUGAUGUUGCUUCUCAAGGACCCUCCUGCCGCCGGCGCCGGCGCAACGCCGCCGGCGGCGAGCGUGGUGUGCCGGCACUUCCUCUUCGGCCCGGCGGAGAUCUCCGCGCUGCGAGGCCGCGUCGCGGGGUACGACGACCUCGGGGCGUCGUGCACGAGGUUCGAGCUGCUGACAGCGGCGCUCUGGCGGUGCCGGGUGGCGGCGUGGGGCCUGGCCGACGACCAGCGCGCCGUCCUCGUCUUCGCCGUGAAUGUGCGCCGGAGGUGGGUGCGGAUCCCGCCGGGUUACUACGGCAACGCGCUCGUGUUCCACGUCGUGGAGGCCGACGCCGGCGAGCUGCGCGGGAGGCCGCUGGGCCACGCGGUGGUGCUCGUGCGCGAGGCCAAGGCGGACACGAGCGAGGAGCACGUGAGGUCCACCGCCGAUUUCAUGGCGUCGAUGCGCGAGAUGCCCCCGGCGACGUACCACGAGGAAACCUACAUGAUGUCGGACUGGACGCGCCUCGGCGAGGACGAGGUGGACUUCGGGUGGGCAAGGCGGGUCGGCGGCGGCGUCGCGAUGCCGCCGUCACCGUUGGUGAGCUUCAACGCAAAGUGCGUGAAUUCGGAUGGCGACGAGUCGGUGAUUGUGACGAUGGCGUUGCCGGAGGCAGUGAUGGAGAGGUUCGAGAAGGAGAUUGAUAAGAUUUGGUCAAAGAAUUAAAGAUGUCGAUCGAAUGUAUCCUUUGGGUUCUACGUACCAUGUUGUUGUACUUUAUAGGAUGGUGAAAUGCAUGUGUUCUUACAAUAAAUGGCAAACUGCCUUGAACACUUCUAGUUGGGAUGAAUUGUUUAGUUUGCAGGCUUCACUCAUCACUCUAUUUUCUAAGUUUUUAGGACAUUAGUGAAUAGGCGGGAUGGAACGGUGACUUGCUUCGACUGGUGCACGAAUGUUGGCUCUUUUACUCUGUUUGCAGAUCAGUACCUUCUGCUGUUCAUUUGCUGAUGUCUUUUGAGCGAGUGUUUGAGCCGAAUGCACUUGUGCUGGCAGAUGUUUGUUUUCUUUGGUAAUCUCGUUUUGUGCAAGCUCAAUUCCAAACAGUUGGUACACUGGAUUUUCCUUGCUUUUAUCGACUGGUAUACUGAGUUCGUUCUGGCUUUCGAUCUUGGAGAUCGUGCUUGUCUUGUUUACAUGUGUGGUAUCAUUGUUUAGGGGGGUAUUUUGUUUCCAUGAUUUCACUGGUCCCUAAUUCUUGUUGAUAGAUUGCUCUGCACUUGCUUCUCUCUUCCUUUUGCUAGAGUAAUCUACAUUGACCUUUGGUUCUAUAAAGUAGGAAAAGCAGCUGCAGCUCUAAUCAGUUCAGCAGCAAAGUGUUUGAGUGCCCUGUUCUCUCCUAUCUCCUCCUACCUCCAGCUCAAAGUGUGUGCGCGUGUGGGUGUGAGUUCCAGGGAGCUCACCUUGGCCAUUGCCAACAAUUCUGGCGUCUGAGUAAAAUGCAGAGAGGUUGCUUUAUAGUUUAUUUGAUGAGAAAGCGAUUUUGGUGCCUGAAGAGUUCUUGAUUUCCAUUGCCUGAGAGUUUAGCUCACAGGGACAGGAGUGCAGCAACUUGUAACAUGUAUAGAAAGACCAGGAACUUGUACAUGUAUAGAAACAGACCACCAACUGUAUUGUAUUACACAGAAAAAUUCGCCGUCGCUCAUAUUGAAAUGAAUGUAGAUGCGAAGCUCAGCGGAUGACCUGCUACUGGCAUUGCAAAAAUGGUCAUCAUUCCAUUCCAGCAGAUUUUAGAGUCUUCAAUCAAAAAGGUUGUAUAUGCAGAGAUGAGAAACAGAGGUGUUCUUGUUUCAUACAGUGUGUUGUGUACAUAUGUAAUAGUUUGGAGGCAUGGAGUAAGUGAAUUUAUAGCCCUCCCUCAGAGAAGGAACACAGGAACUCAAGGCUACGAGCAGCUGAUGACAGACAGGAAGAUCGAGGAAGCCCCCUUAUGCCUUCCACCACGGGUCCUCGCCGGUCCUGAAGUCGGUCUCCACCCACGGGACGAAGAGGACCUUGCCGUCGUCGACGUCGGCGUGCACCAGGGCCAGCGACUGUUGUUGUUCCGAUCAGAUGAGCAAUUCAACCAAGAUCAGAUUCAGUCAGUUGAUGAAGGCAGAUCAUAUCAUUCAGCUAGAAUCAAGGAAGCAAAAUGAAUGAAAUGCAUUGCUCACCAGGGGCGCCGGGCCACGGACGACCCUGCCCUGGUUGUUGUACUGCGAGCCGUGGCAGGGGCAGAUGAACUUGUUCUCGGCGCUGUUCCACGGCACGACGCACCCCAGGUGGGUGCAGACGGCGUUGAUGCCGUAGGUGGCCAGCGUCUUGUCCUGCUCCACCACCAGGUACGUCGGGUCGCCCUUGAGCCCCUGCGCCAGCGUCCGGUCGUUGGGGCCGUGGGUCUUGAGCCACUCGUCCACCUUGAUGUCGUUGCCCAGCUUGUCCUUGGCGUACGUCCCGCCGCCGGCGCUGCCGGACCUGCAAAUUAUUACCCGUUGAGCUGCUGGCCGGCCGGUGACAGACAGGACUAGGCAGCUUACCCGGCGGGGAUGAAGAAGGCGCCGUAGGGGACGACCAUGCCGACGGUGGGCAGCGAGAUGGCGCCCAGGAGGAGGAGGUUCAUCAGCUUCCGCUUCUCCAUGUCGGGGACGCGGUCGGCGGGGAUGCUGCUCGCCGCCUGGCACGUGAUGCUCCGCCGGCCCAUCCCGAGGCCGAGGCCCUUCACCGGCUUGCCCAGCGAAGAAGCAGCGCGGGGCCGGCAGAGCUGCCAUUGCAGGCGCGCACAUCGCAUGCAAACGGAUAUAUGUGAUCCAGACUUAAACAUAGAUAACAGAUCAAUCGAGCUGCAAAUUAAAUGUAUAGCAAACCUGGAUUCUGUGGUCAACUACUCCAGAAUCCAGAUACAAAUGAGUGUCUACAACGUAUUUGAAUUGUUCGUCAAAUCGUCAGGUAAAUCCAGUGGACCACGGAUCAGAACCAGGAGUGAAAUCGAUAUAGUAGUGCUACACUGCUACUCCAUUACUUUGUAGGUAGUAUGAUCCAUGUUCUUUCAGUUCUAACUUCUACGUUGCGUUAACGAACUCAUACAGCAAAGACGAUGAACACGCCUUUCUCGGAAAAAAGUCACAGCAGUAGCCAGUAGGGGAGGGGAGAGAGGAGAAGCGAGGCGCAGAAGAAGUAGAAGAGGAAGCUGGGCGCUUACCUGGGUGGGGUUGGCGGCGGUGGAGAGCGCCGUGGAGGCCGCCAUGGCUGCAGGGAAGGGAGGAUCGGAUUGCUGGGGGAGGUGUCGAGCGAGGCUUCUGUCGCUGGCGUCCACAGGCUUGCGGAUGAGCCCCGGGGCUAUAUGUGUGUGUGUCCCUGGUGGAGGGGGGGAGGGCGGCCGGUGAUUGGUUGAUGCGCAGCGACCGGGCCGCGACGACCACAUGUUGCGAGGGGCGCGCGGCCGUGGCACGCGCGCGCACUGUUACGGCCUUAUCAGUACGGCAAGGGAAAUCUCUCGGCUUCGGCUUGGCGCCCUGGCAUAAUAGUGGCAACUGGCAACAAGAAGUAUCUUUGGGUCUUCUUGGCUCGGUGAACGUGGCUGGCACAACCGCACAAGGCUUCUGCUUUUUUGGCCAGAUUGUAGAGUCUCCAAUUUAGUUACCCACUCCCUCAGUCCCGAUUUAAUUGUCGCUCGGGAACCGGGAUUGUGAGGGGAAUACGGUUCCCGAGCGACAGGUAAUAGGGACGGAGGAAGUAGUCCAGUGCAGGCUCUGCCCAUAGGUGCUCCCAUACUCCCGUAUGAAAAAACCAACCAAAAGUUGAAAGAUCAAACAAAAAAUAUGGACAGGUAGAGGAUGCAUAGCUCGUGCAAAAAAUCGAGAUGGAACAAAAAUUGUGCAAUGAGAUUUAAAAACAAAGUAAAAUCAGCAGCCGAUUUUACCUUUUCAUAUCUUUGUACAAAUUUUUAUUGCAUCUCAAAUUUUACACGAACAUAGAUCUUUGCAUCAUCCAUCCAUUCAUUUUUUUGUUGGAUUCUUCAUACACUUUUUUGUUCUCCCAUUUACUGUAGCACGAAUUUUAAACGGUAAAAGGUGUGUAAGGUAACUUCUUUCGGAAAUCUGCUUGUUUUCUUCCCUACUUGGGCCUUGCGUCGCAGGUUUAUUAGGCCUUAAGCGACCGAAUCAAGUCCAGUCUCUUUGGGCCGACGACCUCAUCAUUAGCUAACAAGCCCAUAGGGGGGAAGGUAUUGUAGGGCCCUGAAUCUGUCACGCCCCAUCCAACGGGUUUGAGGCCCUGUGAAAUUGCUUUCCUGAGCGGCCCAGAGUGAGUACAUCACAGGCAGUAUCGUUUUGCUGAGCUUAACUGUACAAAACAGUUUGCGACUUCUUUUUUUUUGAACUAAGAUGGUUUGCGACUGUGUUACAGUUUUCACAUUCAACUGACGGCAAACUUCUUUUUUUCUGGCAUCAAAACCAGCAGAUACCACGCUCAGUUGUCAGUGACUCAGUGCUUGGCGGUGUAGCACUGGCAGGCUAGCCCUCCCCAAAACGGUUCAGGGAGGAGGUGACUGGCACUGCCGAAUCGGCACCCUUUUUUGCCAAAGCAAUUUCACCCGUGAACCAAAAAUGCAAAAUGGAAGAGAAUUUUGCUCGGGGCCGCACCAUUGUGGAGGUCAAACUUGCUCGAUCCCAUGGCGGAUAGCGGAGGCCUGAUGCUGAGAGGAGAUCCGGAGAUCCAGCGUCCUGCUGCUCAGGGAGGGGUUUCAGUUCAGUUCAUAGCCGCACACAAGAACAGCUCGACCUCGACGGUCUCGAAAGCUUCCAUGUACCAUGUUUCAUCCAUCAAUGGCCGCUCGCAGUCCUCGCACUCAAGCCAGGAUGGCCAGAAGCGAAGAAAUCACAGACAAGAAGGCGCCAAGCUCAAUUGAAUCGGUUUGUGCUCCACAAAUUCAUCUCAAUUGUCCUAAUCCUAUUCCUACCUCUGUGUGACAAGAAUCCACGCCCGAAUCAACCAACACGCAAUUGAGUCGGUUGCGCAUACAGGAGAAUUGGAAGAGAGAGAAAAAAUUGAAGAAUGAUGAUGUGCCAUUGCCGUCUCCCGGCUAUCUGAACCCCUUCCUGAGCGAGUACCUCCCCUGCUUCGCCGCAGCCCCGUCUGGGGCUCCAGCCCGCGCGCGCACGGCCUCCGGCAGCUCUGCCUCAGCGAGCGCCAGCAGAGCGGCCGGCGGAGGCCGGGACGGUGCGGCGAGGAAGAGGCCCGUGAUGUCGCGGAGCGGCGGCCGCCUCCGCGUCGCCUUGCCGCCCACGCCCGGCCUCUUCAUCGUCACGUGGAUCUUGACGGCGAUGCCGCGCGCGGCGGCCGGCGGCGCGUUCUCCUUGUCGCCGCCGCCGCAGGAGCCGAGGUUGAGGACGGCCAUCUGGGACGGGUCGAUUGGAUUCCCUUCGAGCUACGUAGGGUGCUCGGGUGGAGGCGGUAGGAUAGGCAAUCUUGCGGCGGAGUGGAGAGGGCGUGAUGGGAUGACCGGAUGAGGAUCAAUGAGCAGGAGGCGGCGCUCGCUUGUAUUUGUAAUUGGGUCGUGGGGGCGGAGGUGGGAGGAGGGCAUGCCGCCAUGGCUCUGAAAUUUUGGGGCUUGGGAGGGAGUGGGAAGUGGGAAAUGGCGGAGCCCAUUCCAUUUCCACGGGUCGUCCAAGUUUGCGGGGAAUCUUUGGAAGCGGAGGGCGUGUGUACUCGUUUUUCAGAUUUGGAUUCGAGAGCGCGGAGGUGGGUGACUGGCGAGGACGAAUAUGGAGGGAGGGAGGGAGGGAGGGAGGCGGAGGCUGCAAAAGUUGUCUGCCGCCUCGCGGGCGCGGCAGCGGAGGGGCUUUGCCGCUAUGGCCUCUGGGAAGGUUCGAAAUUUUCUGCCCGGUUUGGGAGACUCCCGUCCCUAGGAUUUGCGCCAAAUUUGGGCGCGCCAACGCCAACAACCAGCACGUGAUACGGCGCUGCUGAUUGAUGCCGGGGCGGUGACAAGGGCACAAGACAAAUUCGGAAAUCCUGUAUUCCAGUUGGACUUCGGACAGUGGAGGAGACUGGAGAGUUACUUCACUUGUGUGCAAUUCGAGAGUACGCAGGUGAGGUGGAAAAGAAGACUAGUGUGUAAACUUAUUGAUUUUACUAUGCUCUAUCGUUCACUCUUUAUUUUUCUAUAUAUCCAUGGAGUUACAUUUCAUAAGAUUUGGUCGCUCAAUAUUUUAUAAAUCACUAGCCAAUAUGCUUGUGCGUUGCACGGAACAAAAAUAUUAAAUUUAAAAUAAACUACUUAAAUAAUUAUAUAUCUGUGCAAAUAAUAUAUCACAUGAUUAUUAUACUCAGAAAAAAUGAUGGGGCACUCAUUUACCGUUAGAUUUUAAUUGAUAUGAUCGAAAAAGAUGACAUAUAAUAUAUGUUUGUUGCAGCUAUGAAAUACGAAUUCCUCUACUCAAAUAUUAAGAAACCUAGGAUCUUUUUGAAGAUGUUUAUUCAAAAUUGCAUUUUAGGAUUAGUCAGCAGCACACGGGAGCUUUCAUGUAAAUAUGUUGAGUCUUAUCUCUGUCACGCUUUCACCGUCCAUUUUCUACAAUUGUGAACCGUCCGUCCAUGCGCAUGCCUCGCCGCCGCUUCGAUGGCCGGCACCAUUGUGAGCAGCGCUGGCGAGCAAGGUGCCGGGGCCGGUGGAGGCCAACGAGCUGGAACUCCCAGUAUUUGCCUCCCCUUUGUCGCGUUCUUUCUCCUGGCUGGCAAGCACCGAGGUUGUAGCGGACCAGCGCGUGGGGCCAGAAGGUCAAGGGCCUCGGUGUUUUGGCCCAUGGCACAUGGCAGAGUGCCGGAGGAGCACAUCAGGCAGGGAGGAAGAGUUGUUGAGGGGCGGUGGUCGAGCUGCAGGUCCAUAGCAGCGGUGCUCGAUUCCACGACUACUGUAGCCUGCAGCUUGAUUCGCGCCGACAAUGCUCGAUUCGGUAGGUGGUAGUAAAGCCAACACCUCCCUGCUCCUCUUCCUUUAGCAGGAACACGCGAGCACCACCAAAUCCGGGUUGAGCAACCAAUUCACACAAGACAAAUCUUCCUUCUCUCUGAUCCCUCUUAGUUGUAUUUCACAUCAAGCAACGUAAUCAGAUAAGCCCCAAUCCACCUGCAGAUUGACAAGUGCUGCUGCAGCUCCCAAAUUCGAUCUCCUACCAUUGUGUCGCGCAUCCUCAUGCAGGGAGGUGAGACGCAGAUAGGUGGCGCGGGGAGCAGGAGAAGGGAGGUGACGAGCGCCGUGCGGUCGGCUAACGGAUAGGGCAAGGGGGAGCUUGCAGACCAGGAUAACAGAUAGAGAUUUGAACUCGUAAGCGGGGCGGGGGCGGUCCGCGGUUGAUGCAGGAACUGAGAUGGAAUGGGAGGUGACGUUGUAACAACUCUACCUAAAUUAAGUACUUUUCACUAUAAACCAGUGAUAAAUCCCUGAUUAAAGAAGUGAAAUGACCCUUAUAACCCUAAGAAGCUCUUUUUGGAGUUUGGAAUAAAGCUUGAAAUUUUAUAUGCAAACUUAAGUUUCUGCCCACAUACGAGUUGUAAAACUUUUUAAUUCAAACAACUUUUGUUAAAGAUACUUUGACUAAUUCGGAGUGGAAGGGAGUCAAAAACAGCAAUCCAAAACCGGUUUACUAAAGGAUCCUAAAAAUCUUAAGUCCUGGAAUUCGAGUUUUCCUCCAUCUUUGCAAGCUUUCAUCUCCCGAGUUCCUAUCUAAACUCAAAUCAGGGCCUGAAUGAAAGUUGUAGUACCUCGAGUGUGUUCCAACUUUGUUACACUGACCCAGAUCCAAAUCGGGCCCGAACCUGUUCAAAACCCUGAUCAAAGUGAGGUAAACCAGUCAACUCACUCCUGAUGCCUUAAAAAUCCUAAGUCUGAAAUUCCAGAUUUUUGGCUAGCCUUGGCAUGAAUUAUCUUUGAAUUCUUUCACGAUCUAAACCAAUACCUUAAACAAAGUUUGAAGAACGAUCAGAGUUGAGCAAGUUUGUUUAAGGGAGUUUCGGAAGUUGUGUUGAAAGAUCCGGAGGAAGAUCUCCCCAAAGCUGGUCGGGCUUGCUGCCCAAAGGGAGCCUCGACGCCCGCGCGCCAGAGCACGUUUGCUCACGCGCGGCGCGCCGCGUGGCCGCCGGCCACCAGCAGCUCGCCGGCGCCCUAUCACCAGUGCGACAGCGACAGGACAUGAGCCACGGCGCCCAACCCGCGCCCGCGACAAGACGGAGCGAGCGCAGGGCUAGCCAACCGCCGGCCGCGCGCAUGUCGCCUUCCGCCUGCGACGGCUCUGCUCCGCCAACCCCGUUCCGCCCGUCCGCCGGGAAAGCUGCCACGACCAUGGCGUCCCGCGCCUCCGCCUGCUCGCCCAACCCCCACGGUAGCCCUCCGCCUCACCCGCCCGACAGACCGGAAGCCCCAAACGCGCGCCGCCCAAGGCCAAUCGCCGCCGAAGACCACCCGGAGCUCCGCCUCCUCUGCCCAAUGGCGCCGCCGGCCAAUGGCCGUCUUGCCUGCGCACUCGCCGCUCCCGGGCUUAUCCUUUCCCCACCGGAGCCCCGCCUCGACCCUUCGCGCCACCCCGGCCCUAUAAAAGGGACCCCCUCACCGGCAAUUCCACCCCUUGCCACCGCCCGCACCCACACCCCCGCUUUCUCCUCUGCGCUGCCGUUGAGCUUCCGUGGAGCUCACCCCUUUGCGCCACCCCACACUCCGGCGAUUUCGCCACCACACUCUUGAGAAAGUUCCCCUCUCCGCUCAAGCCGCUUCUUCCAACUCACCAGCCGCCCGCUCCUCCGCGCGGUACUCGAGCUUGCUUGUGUCCGCAAGAAGCACCGCCGCCGCCGGAGCACCGUCGAAGCACCACCGCCGCCGGAGCACCGUCGAAGUCUCGUCGCCGCCCAAGCUUUCGCGCGUACGACCUUCCACCCCAGCCUACUCCUGUUCGACCCCAAGGCUUCACCGAUAGACCUGGAGGUAAGCGACCGACCCCUUGUGUCUCGUCUCCGCCAACCCCUUUUGUUUCGUUUCGACCGACCCCUUUUGUUUCGGUUCGUCCGACCCCUCUCUGUUCGGUUUGUCCGACCCCUCUCUGUUCGGUUCGUCCAACCCCUUCUCGUUCGGCUCGCCAGACCCCUUUUUCCUUCGUCUCGCCCGACCCUGCCAAGUUUCGCCGACCCUUUCUCCACCUCGCCCGAGGGCUCAGCUGCAUCUUUUUCUUUGACCCGAGGGUAUCGGUGAAUUUUUUUUUCAGGGAUUUCUCUGUGUUGAGUCUGAGGACCUCGGUACGGUUUUUCCUUAAAUCUGAGGGUCAGACCAUAAGUUUCUCCCAAUCAGACCCUUUCAUCCUGUUCCCCACCAACAGAAGUUGAACUCCUCACCUUUCCUGUAGCUUUGCUACAAGUGUCCGAGUUAAAACAUGAGUGUGUUGAAAUAACCAUCUAAAAUGUUUAACCCCUGCAUUGCAUUUCCGUGUAGAGUUGAAUCUCGCCGACGGAACGUACAAGCUUCACCCGGCACCGGAAGAAGACCCCGCCGAGGAGCUGUACCCCUUCGAAGGAGAGCCCGAACCAGAGCAAGACCC
rnacentral:lncRNA from 1 species